rnacentral:rRNA from 1 species
CCCGACUGCUAUUUGGGUGAGAAUAAGCCAUGCGAGUUGAAUGGGAUACCUAAAGUUCCCAUAGCAAACUGCUCAGUAACACAUGAUCAACUUACCCUAUAGAGAAAAAUAACCUCGGGAAACUGAGGAUAAUGUUUCAUAAUUGUAUUGGCUUGGAAAGGUUUUUCAAUGAAAAGGAUAAAAAAAAUGGUUUUUAUCCGCUAUAGGAUAGGAUCGUGUUCGAUUAUGGUUGUUGGUGAGAUAAUGGCUCACCAAGCCGAUAAUCGAUAGGGGCCGUGAGAGCGGGAGCCCCGAGAUGGGUACUGAGACAACGACCCAGCCUUACGAGGCGCAGCAGGCGCGGAACCUCCGCAAUACACGAAAGUGUGACGGGGUUACCCAAAGUUUCAAUAGAACUGUGGUAGGUGAGUAAUGUCCCCUACUAGAAAGGAGAGGGCAAGGCUGGUGCCAGCCGCCGCGGUAAAACCAGCUCUUCAAGUGGUCGGGAUAAUUAUUGGGCUUAAAGUGUCCGUAGCCGGUUUAGUAAGUUCCUGGUAAAAUCGGGUAGCUUAACUAUCUGCAUGCUAGGAAUACUGCUAUACUAGAGGGCGGGAGAGGUCUGAGGUACUACAGGGGUAGGGGUGAAAUCUUAUAAUCCUUGUAGGACCACCAGUGGCGAAGGCGUCAGACUGGAACGCGCCUGACGGUGAGGGACGAAAGCCAGGGGAGCGAACCGGAUUAGAUACCCGGGUAGUCCUGGCCGUAAACGAUGCAUACUAGGUGAUGGUACGGCCAUGAGCCGUAUCAGUGCCGUAGGGAAACCGUUAAGUGUGCCGCCUGGGAAGUACGGUCGCAAGGCUAAAACUUAAAGGAAUAGGCGCGGGAGCGCACCCCAAGGGGUGAAGCCUGCGGUUC